GAUGAACGCUGGCGGCGUGCCUAAUACAUGCAAGUCGAGCGAAUGGAUUAAGAGCUUGCUCUUAUGAAGUUAGCGGCGGACGGGUGAGUAACACGUGGGUAACCUGCCCAUAAGACUGGGAUAACUCCGGGAAACCGGGGCUAAUACCGGAUAACAUUUUGAACCGCAUGGUUCGAAAUUGAAAGGCGGCUUCGGCUGUCACUUAUGGAUGGACCUGCGUCGCAUUAGCUAGUUGGUGAGGUAACGGCUCACCAAGGCAACGAUGCGUAGCCGACCUGAGAGGGGGAUCGUCCACACUGAGACUGAGACACGGCCCAGACUCCUACGGGAGGCAGCAGUAGGGAAUCUUCCGCAAUGGACGAAAGUCUGACGGAGCAACGCCGCGUGAGUGAUGAAGGCUUUCGGGUCGUAAAACUCUGUUGUUAGGGAAGAACAAGUGCUAGUUGAAUAAGCUGGCACCUUGACGGUACCUAACCAGAAAGCCACGGCUAACUACGUGCCAGCAGCCGCGGUAA
rnacentral:rRNA from 1 species